GCCUGUGUGACUCAGUGGUUGAGCACCUGUCUUUGGCUCAGGUCCUGAUCCUGGGGUCCUGGGAUCAAAUCCCACAUCAGGCU
rnacentral:tRNA from 1 species